GAUGAACGCUAGCGGGAGGCCUAACACAUGCAGCCGAGCGGUAGAGUUUCUUCGGAAACUUGAGAGCGGCGCACGGGUGCGUAACACGUGUGCAACCUACCUUUAUCUGGGGGAUAGCCUUUCGAAAGGAAGAUUAAUACCCCAUAAUAUAAUGAUUGUCAUCAAUUAUUAUUGAAAACUCCGGUGGAUAGAGAUGGGCACGCGCAAGAUUAGAUAGUUGGUGAGGUAACGGCUCACCAAGUCAAUGAUCUUUAGGGGUCCUGAGAGGGAGAUCCCCCACACUGGUACUGAGACACGGACCAGACUCCUACGGGAGGCAGCAGUGAGGAAUAUUGGACAAUGGGGGAGAGCCUGAUCCAGCCAUCCCGCGUGAAGGAUGACGGUCCUAUGGAUUGUAAACUUCUUUUGUACAGGGAUAAACCUACCCUCGUGAGGGUAGCUGAAGGUACUGUACGAAUAAGCACCGGCUAACUCCGUG
rnacentral:rRNA from 1 species